UACAGAGGUCCCAAGCGUUGUUCGGAUUCACUGGGCGUAAAGGGUGCGUAGGUGGUGAGGUAAGUCGGAUGUGAAAGCUCCGAGCUCAACUCGGAAAUGGCAUUGGAAACUACCUUGCUAGAGGGUUUGAGGGGGGACUGGAAUACUUGGUGUAGCAGUGAAAUGCGUAGAUAUCAAGUGGAACACCAGUGGCGAAGGCGAGUCCCUGGAAAACUCCUGACACUGAGGCACGAAAGUGCGGGGAUCAAACAGG
rnacentral:rRNA from 1 species